rnacentral:lncRNA from 1 species
GAAUACAAAGCUCCGAUCGGAACCACAGAUUUGAAGUAGAGCUCGCGGGACAUGGAAACUGGCUCCACAACUUUGAAGACGCUGACGAGAAGGUAAGCGAUCGAGGAACAGAAGGCCAUAUGGAUCAUAGUGAGAGAGAUCGGAAAAGGCCAAUUGUACAUCUUCUGAUCUAGAAUGAAUUUGUUGUAGACGAUGACGGAGAAGCUGAGGAAGAUCCAUAUGGCGACGUAGGCAUAAGAAAGGAGAACUUUCUUGAGAACACUCUCGGAGAUAGCUCCGCCCUUCCCCAUUAUCCGACGACCAAAGCGAAGAUUUCAGAUCGAAAACUGAAAAACGG